rnacentral:rRNA from 1 species
AUGAACGCUAGCGGCAGGCUUAACACAUGCAAGUCGAGGGGCAGCGAGAGAGUAGCAAUACUUUUUGUCGGCGACCGGCGGACGGGUGCGUAACGCGUAUGCAACCUACCUUAUACAGGGGGAUAACCUUUCGAAAGGGAGACUAAUACCGCAUAACAUUACUUUGAGGCAUCUUGAGGUAAUUAAAUCUUCGGAGGUAUAAGAUGGGCAUGCGUAGCAUUAGCUAGAUGGUGCGGUAACGGCGUACCAUGGCGACGAUGCUUAGGGGUUCUGAGAGGAAGGUCCCCCACACUGGUACUGAGAUACGGACCAGACUCCUACGGGAGGCAGCAGUGAGGAAUAUUGGUCAAUGGUCGGAAGACUGAACCAGCCAUGCCGCGUGCAGGAAGAAUGUCUUAUGGAUUGUAAACUGCUUUUGUAUGGGGCUAAUAAUAACUUUGCGAAGUUAGAUGCAGGUACCAUACGAAUAAGGAUCGGCUAACUCCGUG